rnacentral:rRNA from 1 species
AUUGAACGCUGGCGGCGUGCUUAACACAUGCAAGUCGAUCGGUAACGCGGGGGCAACCCUGGCGACGAGAGGCGGACGGGUGAGGAACGCUUGGGAAUCUGCCUAUCAGCGGGGGACAACACGGGGAAACUCGUGCUAAUACCGCAUACGCUCUACGGAGGAAAGCCGGGGACCGCAAGGCCUGGCACUGAUAGAUGAGCCCAAGCCGGAUUAGCUAGUUGGCGGGGUAACGGCCCACCAAGGCGACGAUCCGUAGCUGGUCUGAGAGGACGAUCAGACAGACUGGGACUGAGACACGGCCCAGACUCCUACGGGAGGCAGCAGUGGGGAAUAUUGGACAAUGGGGGAAGCCCUGAUCCAGCGACGCCGCGUGGGUGAAGAAGGCCUGCGGGUUGUAAAGCCCUUUCGGUAGGGACGAAAGCUCUCGACCUAACACGUCGGGAGGUUGACUUAACCUACAGAAGAAGCACCGGCUAACUCUGUGCCAGCAGCCGCGGUAAAAC